rnacentral:rRNA from 1 species
UAGGGAAUCUUCCGCAAUGGACGCAAGUCUGACGGANCAACGCCGCGUGAGUGAAGAANNNNNUCGGAUCGUAAAANNNNNUUGUUAGAGAAGAACAAGUGCUAGAGUAACUGUUAGCACCUUGACGGUAUCUAACCAGAAAGCCACGGCUAACUACGUGCCAGCAGCCGCGGUAAUACGUAGGUGGCAAGCGUUGUCCGGAUUUNNNNNNNNNAAAGCGAGCGCAGGCGGUUCCUUAAGUCUGAUGUGAAAGCCCCCGGCUCAACCGGGGAGGGUCAUUGGAAACUGGGGAACUUGAGUGCAGAAGAGGAGAGUGGAAUUCCAUGUGUAGCGGUGAAAUGCGUAGAUAUAUGGAGGAACACCAGUGGCGAAGGCGACUCUCUGGUCUGUAACUGACGCUGAGGCUCGAAAGCGUGGGUAGCAAACAGGAUUAGAUACCCUGGUAGUCCACGCCGUAAACGAUGAGUGCUAAGUGUUGGAGGGUUUCCGCCCUUCAGUGCUGCAGUUAACGCAUUAAGCACUCCGCCUGGGGAGUACGACCNCNNGG